rnacentral:lncRNA from 1 species
AAUAGUUAUAGUUAAAAAAAAAAACAACUUUUUGUAUAAUACAUAUUUAAGGCUGAAAUCUAAUAAAUAAUAAAAGUUAUGAAUAGGGUUUGGAAGUUGUUUUUUUUUUUUUUAUUGAACUUCUUAGACGAUACUUCCUUACCUAAAAAUGUGUGACUCAUGCAUAUCCAAUAAACUGUUUAUUAUUAUUUUUUUUUUUGACUUUUAAAGGUAAGGGGUUAUUUCCCUACAUUUUUAGUCAUUUUAACUCAUUUUUCAACUAGCUUAAAGAAAAAAAAUGAGUUUAUUGCAAACCCACUAUUAAAUCAUAUAAUUUGUCGAAUGAUAUGUACCUACCUUGUUAUUGCACCUCUUUAAUUUACUAUUUUAAAAAUAUUACAAAGAAAAUUCUACAUCAAUAGAAAAAGCACAAGAUCUUAUGAGUGAUGAAUGAUAAUGCAAAAUAUAAUUUAAUUUACAUAAACGCUAACUUUUGAACUAUGGUUUCUAAUACUAAGUUAUGUGUCAUCGUGAGGUCUAGGACAGUACGAUAAAGCCGAUGGAUUAAAACAGUAGAAGAAAUUGAUUUUAAAAAUUCUAGCAGAAAAGCGUGGAACUUGCUCAGGAAAAUCGAUACCAGUUGCAAACGGAAAAGAUAUUAUAUCAAAAUUAAGUCAAAAACAUUUGCUAACCGAAUAAUCGAAUUCUCCAGAGCAAAAAUUGAUAGUAAAUAUAGAACAGCUGAACUACGAAAAAACAAAUGCAAUCAAAUGUUAGAAAUUUGGAAAAGCAGCUGUCUUUGACGAAAUCUAUCCAGAAUUCAUAAAACAUAGUGGAUCUAAAGUCAGACUAUGGCUGUCGAAAUCCUACUCAGACAUCAUAGACAACAACAAAUUCCCAAGGUAUUUCAAGAAAACUAAAAUUCUAGCUAUUUUUAAGCCAGGCAAACCUAGCAAUGAAGUACAAAGCUACCGGCCAAUUGCUUUACUCAGCAUCGGAUAUAAACUCCUUGAACGUCUUGUCUAAAAUUGCAUCUCAGACCCAAUAAACUCAAUCAUUCUUAAGAACAGGCGGGUUUCAGAAUAGCAAGGAACUGCUGUGAUCAGGUCCUUGCAUUAACUACCCGAAUUGAAAAUGUAUUCGAAAAAUAGCUUAAAACCGCGACAGCAUUCAUCGACCUGAUGGCUGCUUAUGACACUGUAUGGCAAGAAGGAUUGAUUACUAAAUUUUUACGAAUUAUACCAUGCCAAACUCUAGGUAAUUUAUUAAACAAUAUGCUAAGCACAACAGAUUAUUCAAGGUGAUCAUUGGCAAUACCAAAAGCAAACAAAAAACAUUGAACAAUGGACUUCCAUAAGGCUUAGUCCUGGCUCCUCUAUUAUUUAACUUAUACACUUAUGACAUACCACCUACAGACUGCGGUUAAUAUAUACACGCUGAUGAUAUAGCCUUGGUAGCUCAAGUAAAAACAUUUGACCUAUAUGAGACAACUCUCAACAAAGACCUAGAAUCCCUAAACCACUACUUUAAACGCUGGAGAUUAAAGCCAAAUCCAGUAAAAACACAGGUGAUUGAAAAUAUCCGACACCUCAAAUAUCUCGGUAUUCUUACAAGGAACACCUGACAAAUGCUGCAGCAAAACUAAAAACAAGGAACAAUAUCAUUCAAAAACUUGCAAACUCCGAAUGGGGAAUGGACACUAAUACCCUCAGAAUAUCAACAAUAGCACUUAUACUUUCGGUUGCUGACUAUUGCUCACCAAUUUGGCUACAAAGUGCCCACACAAAUAAAGUAGACACCCAACUGAACUCUGCUAUGAGAAUUAUCACUGGGACGGUUAAAUCUACCCCUAUAGCUUGGCUGCCUGUACUGAGUAACUUAAGCCCACCUCAUCUACAUCGAUACAACUUACUAAUAUGAAGAGUGGACUAAAUGCUUCUCAAAUACUUUACUCCCUAUACAUAAUGAUAUAAACACUGGUCCUAACAUAAGACUAAAAUCUAGGAAACCUAUAUGGAGGCUUGCCCAAAAAUUCAUAUCAGAAAAAUUCAAUAUAAACACAGAAUGGAAUAAUGAGUGGAAAAACAGCAAUCCUGACAAAAUCAACCUAAUUAAUAACCCAACGGUAGGAGUUCCAGGUACUGACCUCCCGAGAAGGGAAUGGAUAGCAUUAAAUAGAUUCCGAACGGGCCAUGGAAAAACAGGACACAUGCUCCAUAAAUGGGGACUCAGGCCAACAUCAGGAUGUGACUGCGGCUAUGAAAAGCAAACUGCUAUACACAUUACUGAUGAGUCAUCAGUGAUGACUGUAAUACUCAAUGACUACAAGGAGGAAUGCAAGAGCUACACAGAGCCACAACAGACACAGUGCAAUGGCUAAACUCUCUGGACAUACAAAUCUAAUAAAAGACCUAUGCAUAUCACACAUCCAUUACUAGUCAACAUAUUACAUAUCUAAUUUGUUAUCAUUUAGUCAACUUUUAUAUAUUUAUUUAUACUUUUAUCUUUCUUUACUUUAUAUUUAUACCUAUUUUAUACUAUGUUACUUAUGUUAAACUGUGAAUUGAAUGUAAUAUUUAUCUAGGUUAUACAAAAUAAAUAAACAAGCACUAAGUUAGCAACUGCAGAACUCAGUCUUAAUGAUUUAAUACAAAGUAUAAAAGAUAUUGAUAUUAAAAUUGAAUCAGCAGCAGUUAAAAUUUCAAAAAUUCUAAAUGGUGAAAAAGCUUUGAGUGGUUUCCAGACGACUCCAGUGUUGAAGAUUUGGUUCAUUUCAAAUUUUCUCCAAUCAAUUUAGUUUUCAGUAAACGUGGAGAGAAGUUUUUCUAAAUAUAAAUAAUUACUAUCCGAUAAUUGUCAUUUAUUUAAUUUUGACAAUAUCAAGUAUGCUCUAAUAGUAUAAUGCAUACCUUUAAGUAAUUUUUAAUCUUUUAUAAAUUAAAUUUCUUUUUCUUAAUUUUCAA